rnacentral:rRNA from 1 species
CCUACGGGAGGCAGCAGUGAGGAAUAUUGGUCAAUGGACGAGAGUCUGAACCAGCCAAGUAGCGUGAAGGAUGACUGCCCUAUGGGUUGUAAACUUCUUUUAUAUGGGAAUAAAACGUUCCACGUGUGGGAUUUUGUAUGUACCAUAUGAAUAAGGAUCGGCUAACUCCGUGCCAGCAGCCGCGGUAAUACGGAGGAUCCGAGCGUUAUCCGGAUUUAUUGGGUUUAAAGGGAGCGUAGGUGGAUUGUUAAGUCAGUUGUGAAAGUUUGAGGCUCAACCGUAAAAUUGCAGUUGAAACUGGCAGUCUUGAGUACAGGAGAGGUGGGCGGAAUUCGUGGUGUAGCGGUGAAAUGCUUAGAUAUCACGAAGAAGUGCGAUUGCGAAGGCAGUUCACUGGACUGCAACUGACACUGAGGCUCGAAAGUGUGGGUAUCAAACAGGAUUAGAUACCCCUGUAGUG